CAGAUUCUUAAUGCUGGCCCUAAAUCAGUCUUCUGUGAAAGCAUAUUAACUACUCAUUGCAUCAAACCACUAAUGCAUCUUCUUGGAGGAAAUGAAAUUCGCUCACUGCAUACAAAGUGGAUGAAAGUUAUCAGAUUAAUGCUGUGUGCAGGGUUGUGCGUGUAAUUGCAGGGUGUGUCUGGCAGGUGUGUCCUUCCAGCUGGAGCUCAGCAAGGUCAUCAAGGAAGAGUUUAUUGAGGAAUGGAUUUGUUGAUGUGGAUACCAGAUUGUUCUUACUCAUCAAGUGGUAAUCAGCCUUUCUCUAUGUUUUGUUCUUCAUGUUUCUUUGUUCCAAAACUUGCUUUCUUGUUGUCUCUCAUCCAGAUAAACAUGUCUCCAAAACUACAGUUUGUUCCUGGAUCUUGGUCCUCAGACUCUGGAAGAUUCACAUCAAAUAUCUCUCUGUUAUCUUCCUUACCACUCCUCCAUCAACUGGCUGGACUCUUCUACUUUCCCUUUCUCUCACUUGGCUGUCCACCCUCCAAUGCCAUGAGGAACAAGGGGAUUACCAAACUGCACUGCAUACCACAACCUGCCAACCUCAGUGGAUAGACUCAAAUCAUUCUUGGAAACUUCACCAUCUCAUCAACAGUAAGGGCCAUCCUGGAACUCUCUGCUGAACCUAUAAGAACAUUUGUCUACUUAUCUGGUACAGUAAACUGUUUAAAUCGUUCCCUGUUGUCUGUAGUUGUUGCAUGCAUAAGGGUCUCACAGACAAACAAAAUAA